rnacentral:lncRNA from 1 species
CUGACGUCAUGUGAUCAAGGUCAGGAUCUAGAGGUGUGGAUGCCAGUCAGGGCUCCGGUACUGCAGUCAGCUAUGGGGAGGUGCUCACAACCAUAAGUGCUUCUGGAGCCACAGUGGAAUGAGUCUGGAGGGCUCCACAGGAGUGUCCUGACGUGCAGAAGCUGUGGCCAUCUAGUCCUGGGGCUUCUCUCUGACCCAUGUGUUAUUUUCAGAACUUUCUGCUAAUUCCCAAGAUGCUUCAGAGCUGUCUGCAGCCCUGAUUUCCCCCAAACGCACUGGAGACAGAACUCUCCACAAAGUAAAGACAAGAGGCCUUACUUUCAGGCAGACUGGAUUACAACCUCUGACCUGCUGCUUCUAAACUGUAUAACGUUGGAGCAAACCUCAGUUAGGUGCCAGUGAGAAGACCCAGGACGCAAGGGGAGAUCACCAAGGAGUAGGACCAGUUCUCCACAGACCACCACCCUGAGUUCUAGGAGACAUAAUGUUGGAUGGGGACGUACUCCAGAAGACGGGCCACUUGGCCACAGCAGCUCUGAGGGAACACUAGCAUUGGCACUUGGGCAAGGCUUCCGAGCCACCCUGGGUUCCUGAGUUUUUCUCACUGUGGAACUUGAGACAGCAAGGCUAGGAAGUGUGACCUGAUCCUGUGGCUCACACUACAGUGCUGAGGG